rnacentral:rRNA from 1 species
UGAAUACGAGACGCUAAGGCGUCGAAGUAGUGUAUGUCAUACUUCCAAGAAAAGCUUGCACUGUCAUAAGUAAAAAAUGCCUGUACCAUAACCGACACAGGUGGGUAGGUAGAGUAUACUAAGGGGCGCGAGAUAACUCUCUCUAAGGAACUCGGCAAAAUAACUCCGUAACUUCGGGAGAAGGAGUACCUUAUUCUAUAAGGUUGCAAUAACAAGAUCCAAGCAACUGUUUAUCAAAAACACAGGUCUCCGCUAAGUCGUAAGACGAUGUAUGGGGGCUGACGCCUGCCCAGUGCCAGAAGGUUAAAGAAGUCGGUUAGCAUUAGCGGAGCUGGUAACUGAAGCCCUGGUGAACGGCGGCCGUAACUAUAACGGUCCUAAGGUAGCGAAAUUCCUUGUCGGGUAAGUUCCGACCCGCACGAAAGGCGUAAUGAUUUGGAUACUGUCUCGGAGAGGGGCUCGGUGAAAUAGACUUGUCUGUGAAGAUGCGGACUACCUGCACCAGGACAGAAAGACCCUAUGAAGCUUUACUGUAACUUGAAAUUGAAAUUGGACUUUAUUCGCGCAGUAUAGGUGGGAGGUGUUGAUUAUAAUCUUGCGGGAUUAUUGGAGCCAUCAGUUAGAUACCACUCUUGUAAUGUUAGAUUUCUAACUUUGAAUCAUUAUCUGGUCAAAGGACAGUUUCAGGCGGGCAGUUUGACUGGGGCGGUCGCCUCCCAAACGGUAACGGAGGCGUACAAAGGUUUCCUCUGAACGGGUAGAAAUCGUAUCUAGAGUGUAAAGGCAUAAGGAAGCUUGACUGUGAGACCUACAAGUCGAACAGGGACGAAAGUCGGUCUUAGUGAUCUGACGGUACUGAGUGGAAAGGCCGUCACUCAACGGAUAAAAGUUACUCUAAGGAUAACAGGCUGAUCUCCCCCAAGAGUUCACAUCGACGGGGAGGUUUGGCACCUCGAUGUCGGCUCAUCGCAUCCUGGGGCGGUAGUACGUCCCAAGGGUUGGGCUGUUCGCCCAUGAAAGCGGUACGCGAGCUGGGUUCAGAACGUCGUGAGACAGUUCGGUCCAUAUCCGGUGUAGGCGUUAGAAUAUUGAGAGGAGCCUUCUUUAGUACGAGAGGACCGAGAAGGACAUACCUCUGGUGUACCAGUUAUCGUGCCAACGGUAAACGCUGGGUAGCUAUGUAUGGAGUGGAUAACCGCUGAAAGCAUCUAAGUGGGAAGCCCACCUCAAGAUAAGUAUUCUCAUCAC